AGACGUCUACAUUAGAUACCCGCGUAGUCCCAGCCGUAAACUAUGCGCGUUAGGUGUAUCGGUGACCACGAGUUACCGAGGUGCCGAAGGGAAACCGUGAAACGUGCCGCCUGGGAAGUACGGUCGCAAGGCUGAAACUUAAAGGAAUUGGCGGGGGAGCACCACAACAGGUGGAGCCUGCGGUUUAAUUGGACUCAACGCCGGGAAGCUCACCGGAUAGGACGGCAGAAUGAUUGCCGGGCUGAAGACCCUGCAUGACUAGCUG
rnacentral:rRNA from 1 species